rnacentral:rRNA from 1 species
UCCUACGGGGGGCAGCAGUCGGGAAUAUUGCGCAAUGGAGGAAACUCUGACGCAGUGACGCCGCGUAUAGGAAGAAGGUUUUCGGAUUGUAAACUAUUGUCGUUAGGGAAGAUAAAAGACUGUACCUAAGGAGGAAGCCCCGGCUAACUAUGUGCCAGCAGCCGCGGUAAUACAUAGGGGGCAAGCGUUAUCCGGAAUGAUUGGGCGUAAAGGGUGCGUAGGCGGCCUGCUAAGUCUGGAGUGAAAGGUACCGGCUCAACCGGUACAGGCUCUGGAAACUGGCGGGCUAGAGAGCAGGAGAGGGG